rnacentral:rRNA from 1 species
UACGAAGGGUGCUAGCGUUGUUCGGAAUCACUGGGCGUAAAGCGCGCGUAGGCGGCAAAUCAAGUCAGAGGUGAAAUCCCAGAGCUUAACUCUGGAACUGCCUUUGAAACUGUAUUGCUAGAGUGUCGGAGGGGAUGGCGGAAUUGCUAAUGUAGAGGUGAAAUUCGUAGAUAUUAGCAGGAACACCGGUGGCGAAGGCGGCCAUCUGGACGACAACUGACGCUGAGGCGCGAAAGCGUGGGGAUCAAACAGG